AUUGAACGCUGGCGGCAGGCCUAACACAUGCAAGUCGAGCGGAUGAAGGGAGCUUGCUCCUGGAUUCAGCGGCGGACGGGUGAGUAAUGCCUAGGAAUCUGCCUGGUAGUGGGGGAUAACGUCCGGAAACGGGCGCUAAUACCGCAUACGUCCUGAGGGAGAAAGUGGAGGAUCUUCGGACCUCACGCUAUCAGAUGAGCCUAGGUCGGAUUAGCUAGUUGGUGGGGUAAAGGCCUACCAAGGCGACGAUCCGUAACAGGUCUGAGAGGAUGAUCAGUCACACUGGAUCUGAGACACGGUCCACACUCCUACGGGAGGCAGCAGUGGGGAAUAUUGGACAAUGGGCGAAAGCCUGAUCCAGCCCUGCCGCGUGUGUGAAGAAGGUCUUCGGAUUGUAAAGCACUUUAAGUUGGGAGGAAGGGCAGUAAGUUAAUACCUUGCUGUUUUGACGUUACCAACAGAAUAAGCACCGGCUAACUUCGUG
rnacentral:rRNA from 1 species